CCAGACUCCUACGGGAGGCAGCAGUGGGGAAUAUUGCGCAAUGGGCGAAAGCCUGACGCAGCGACGCCGCGUGAGGGAUGAAGGUCUUCGGAUCGUAAACCUCUGUCAGCAGGGAAGAACGGUCACUGUGCUAAUCAGCAGUGAAUUGACGGUACCUGAGUAAGAAGCCCCGGCUAACUACGUGCCAGCAGCCGCGGUAAUACGUAGGGGGCAAGCGUUAUCCGGAUUUACUGGGUGUAAAGGGAGCGUAGACGGCGAUGCAAGUCUGAAGUGAAAGCCCGGGGCUCAACCCCGGGACUGCUUUGGAAACUGUAUGGCUGGAGUGCUGGAGAGGCAAGCGGAAUUCCUAGUGUAGCGGUGAAAUGCGUAGAUAUUAGGAAGAACACCAGUGGCGAAGGCGGCUUGCUGGACAGUAACUGACGUUGAGGCUCGAAAGCGUGGGGAGCAAACAGGAUUAGAUACCCUAGUA
rnacentral:rRNA from 1 species